rnacentral:lncRNA from 1 species
AUAACCUAGAGCAAGCACUGAAGAUGCUCUGGGUGCAACACCACCCCCCAAGAUUCCUUUGGCUGGAGUCAGCCUUCCAUCUGGAAGGGCGCGCCUGGUGCCGUGGCAUUAGGGCUGUGAGCCCUGCAGGGCCUCUCCACAUCCUAACCAACUGGAGUCUGUUUCCAUUAAAAUGAAGUAAUAAAAAUAACACGAAAGCCUUUCUAUUUAUAGAUGGUUUCAUAGACACUUUUAAAAAUACAACCUGAAUUUGGCUCCAGUAACUUGGCGUUGGUUAUUUUAGGUUCUACGUGGAUUUUAUUUUUAGUGGUGCAGAAUGAUUUCUAAAGCAUUCAGCUGGAAUAACAGAAGAAGGCAACAGAUGGUUUUGGGAAACAUCAGGCUCCUUACUUUGCAGAGAAUGGCUGCAAGGAAAUGGAAGUUUCUCUUCAGCUGUGAUACUCAUUCUCUUAGAGGCGCCCCAGCAGCCUUCUUUGCUCAUCACCCCACCGCUCAACCACCAAGCUGUCAUGGGAUGAUGGCGACCUCUAGAGGCCACACUUAGAAACUGUCUGAUGUAAAGUUCAGCCUCUCCAGGCUCUUAGAAGAAUCAUCAAUAGAGCUUUUCCUUAGGGCUCUGAGAAUCGUGAAUACAUAGAGCUUUUCUUUUCUCUCCCAUGUUUUGCUGCUCACAGCCCAGGUACUUCCACCUAAGGCGAUUAUUUUCUCACACUUUCAUGGCAAAUGCCUCCCUUUUCCUUUUUACCAUUCUUUCCAAAAAAGAAAACUUUCCUAUUUGUGAGUGAAAAUGUUUAAAUGACUGUAAUUAUGCUCAGAGCCUGUAUGAAAGUAACAAGAAAGACAUUUGGUGUGAAGUCAAAUAAUGUCACUAAUUGCUAGCCCUUCAUUAUUCCAAAGGCCCCUUCCCAGAAACUCCACAAAUUCCAUUUCCUAAGCAUCAAGAUUCCAACGUUUUAAAGGCUAUUAAAUUGUUCAUUACCUCUUUUAGUUAUGCGUUAGUUUGUUUCUUAGUUAUUACAGUUA